GACUGACUGCAAGCCGCCUCUCUCUGGAUUACCCCCACAGGAGAUAUGAACAAAUGUCUGUUCAUCCCAGAUGAGGCACCACCAGCAGAUUCCACCAUUUCCAAGUCCAUCUUGGUGAACCAAUGAAUUUACUGGGUUCGCUUACGGGAGCAUGUGGGAGGCACCUCUUGGGACCAUAUACAACUGGGGAAGGCUUCCAUGCAGAUCAAAGUGGGGUGCAGGAAGAAACCUGUUAACUCACUCUGGCACCUCUUCUCUAGGGGAACAUCAACAGGACAGAAACUUGAGAGGAAGUUCGUUGUGGCUCACAGUUCAAGGAUGCAGUCCACCAUG